rnacentral:rRNA from 1 species
CCUACGGGUGGCAGCAGUCGAGAAUCAUUCACAAUGGGGGAAACCCUGAUGGUGCGACGCCGCGUGGGGGAAUGAAGGUCUUCGGAUUGUAAACCCCUGUCAUGUGGGAGCAAAUUAAAAAGAUAGUACCACAAGAGGAAGAGACGGCUAACUCUGUGCCAGCAGCCGCGGUAAUACAGAGGUCUCAAGCGUUGUUCGGAAUCACUGGGCGUAAAGCGUGCGUAGGCUGUUUCGUAAGUCGGUUGUGAAAGUGGCGGGCUCAACCCGCGGACGGCACAUGAUACUGCGAGACUAGAGUAAUGGAGGGGGAAACGGAAUUCCCGGUGUAGCAGUGAAAUGCGUAGAUAUCGAGAGGAACACUCGUGGCGAAGGCGGGUUCCUGGACAUUAACUGACGCUGAGGCACGAAGGCCAGGGGAGCGAAAGGGAUUAGAUACCCGAGUAGUC